rnacentral:lncRNA from 1 species
CACCAUCUGCUGUAAAGGCCACAACUGAAGGGGUGGUUCUGGCACCUUCGGCAUUCUCCAGCACCUAAACUCCCAAAAUGUGAUAGAGACAUGAAUCCCUGGCCUGAACUGGGGAAGUCACUUUCAGGAUUAAAGGCAGCCAACAGAACAUCAGCACCCAGAGCCCUGGAGAACAGCAUCUGUGUUUGAGUGGGUAUAGGGAGAGAGAGGCUGCAUUUCUAAAAUAUCUCUGAGAACAAGCUGCUUUUCAGAAUUCAAAUCAACAUGUGAUCUUCUUCACUUUAGGGGUAUAUGCAGGAAGCCAUUAGACACAACCAGGUAUUGAAUUGUCUUCCCUGAAGUCCGUGUCUGUGGGUCUGGCUGGGCCACUUGAUGAGAAAUCUCAGCAAGAGGUCUCAGACACCAAACUGGGGAAAAAAUUAAACUGACAGAGUGCUUGAUAUUUCCAAGAAGUCACUUAGGUUCUGUGUAUUACCGCAGCAUUCAA